rnacentral:lncRNA from 1 species
UGCCUGUCAUUAGCAAAGGUAUCAAAAACUGAAGGUCUCAAUAAAACAACUAAAUAUUACAUUUAGGCCAAUUCCAUUUAAACAUACAAGUAUAUAAAUACUAAGAAAAGCUAUAAAAAUACUGAACCUCAUUGCGAACAAUGAUCGUAGGUUUUGACUCUUCGAUAGCCUUGGGGAUACCCUCUUUGCAUUUAAUAGACAGCUGGGCCACACUUUUAUCUUUCCAUGCAUCCUAAUCUGCUGGAUCACUUGACUGCAAGGGUAAGAGGCAUUAAACCAUUGGGAUGGACAUCACAAUGUAAAGUUGAUUUGAAACAGGAACCAGUGGAAAAAUGCAGCCCUAAGACAAUAGUGACCCAGAUGCCAGGUAGUGCUUGGCACACACAUAGCGUAUGGAACGAUAUGUUUUGUUCCAUUCUCUUUGAUUCCACCCCUUCAGUAGAACAAAAAUGUUCCACAUUUUAGUGUCGCGUUCAUUCUACUUAUAAGAUAUACCGAACACAUGGAACAGAACCCAUAUAUUCUCUCUAAUCCGUUCUAACACGACACCAAACGCUACAAAAGUAUAAAUUUACACUGGAAAUUUGCAUCAUAUAGAAAAAUACCUUCACAUAAAGCUUGCACUUCACUUCAUGAACAACCACUAUACCUUUCUCUUCUGAUCCCAAUCAAGUAUUUAGAAACGUUCAUUUUCCAAUUUUACCUUUGUCUCUAAUUUUUCAAUUUUUGCAAUGGCCAUAUCAUGCUCCUCAUCAAGCUCUGUGACUAGCAACUCCAUCAUUUUGUGUUCUUUAACAACCAUUUGGAAAUGUUCAUUUUCUGCAGCUUCUGUUCUAGCUGCAAAACAAAAUAAUUUGCUCAUUAUUCUGCAUUAAAAUAAAUGCUGCGCUUAUGGAUAAGAAUAAUAGGAGGAAUCCACAAAGGAUAGAGGGAAAUUUACUUGCAAGACUAACAGCACCAACAUCCCCAGUUCCCACCCUUAAAAAAAAGAGCUUACAUGUACUUUGUGCUAAAAUUUUCAUCAGCGAUCCAGUUUCUAGCUAUAUAGGAAAUCAAUCCUUACAAUUAUCUCCAUAUACAACUUAGGGGAAAAUGAAAUGUAUUAUACAGAUUAAAACCUGUAAUGCCAAUCAGUCAUUCUACCUGUCAUGAUCCAGUUUCUAGCUAUAGAGCAAAUCAAUCCUUACAAUUAUCUCCAUAUACAACUUAGGGGAAAAUGAAAUGUAUUAUGCAGAUAUGAUAUAGUUAUAGAAUGGAAACUAACUUGCCUCUCCCUUUGAAAGGUAUUCAUAACUCUUGCAGGUAGAGAGAUAAAGCCCAAAUGUCCAUGUUAUAGUUCCCAAUAUUAUGUUUAAAUGGAAGAUAAUUGUAGCCCUGACCAACUCAGUCCAACAAUUAAUGCAGUUCUGAUCCCAAUCAAGUAUGCCAGUUUAAGUAGAGAGAAAGGCCUUGUCACCAAGAGUAUUAUGUUAGCCAAUAGGUGGGAAAUCAAUGCCAUUGAUGACAGAAAUGAGUGUUCUUCCUCCUUGGAUGUUACAUGUUUAAAUGUUCCAUGCUGUUGCACUGAUAUAGUUUAUCACUGCAAUAUCAAUAAGUCCACACCAAAAUUAUAACAACCAUUGUGAAAAUAAAUAAGUAGCUACAUAAUCAGAUAAAAAUAGAACUACAGACAUGACUUGGGAGGCAGUGGCACAACUAUAAGGCUGUAUUAGAUACAGGAAAUCCAUCUCACAGUACAAGUAAAUAGCUAUGGAGAGGAAAUUUUGAUGUGCUUAUCACUAAAACGAAAUUUAUUGAAAUUACCAAAACUUGAAUCAAAACAUAAAUUCCAGAUAUCUAAAUCAAGAUUAGAUCAAAUUUGAAGAUGAAUGAGUCACACAAACUAAUCUUACAAUUGAUUUAAUUGUGUAAAUCUGUAACACCAGACAUCAGAGGCUCGUAGUGAGGAUUACAACCAAAGAUUUAUUUCUCUCCAUUAAAGGACAAAGGAAGCUACUUGACUAGGCACAACGUUAUUUGAUAGAAAACAGUAUAUGGCAAAUGUUAUACCUAAAGAGUGAAAUUAGUGUGCAAGUCCCUAUACAUUUUAGAGUUUUCAAAUAUGUCCCUAUAGUUUCGAAAAACAAUCAACUGGAUCCUUGAAUUUCUUUUUUAAAUUAUAGAAACCCAUUACAAUUUAGACUAUGAAGACUAUUUAAAAGUUCCUAAAAACCACAUGAACCUGUAGACUAAUUUGACCUCUCAAGGAACAAAUCUGAUCAGUAUGUACUGACCCUGACUUGUUGCAGGACUGCAGGAAGGACUGGUAACCACAUUGCAGUUGUUGCUUCCAGUGCCUGAGUUCACAAUAUGAGUUGCCAAUGUGCGGCAGAAACUUGCAUAACGCCGCAAACAUGCAAUAAAAUGUGAAGCUAAAUCAAGAACUGAGUCAACAUAGGCUGCAUAAUUUGAAACACAAUUAAAAUGACCGAAUGACACUUGUCAAACUGUAACAAACGCAGACCUGAAUAGUAAGGACAUGUGUUGUUCAUAGCCAUUGAUUCAGAGUCAACGCUAACUAAUGUUUCAGUGGAUCCUUGCCGGGGCACAUGCACUAAAGCAGAAGAAUUUAUCAAAAUGAAUUGAACUCCAUUCAAAAUCCAGAACCAUCACAAAUCUCUUUGGUUUUGACUCUGCAAUCAUACAAAAUCCAGUAAGUUUUUAUCUAAAAGGCAGUACCGCAGACAGACACUUCCAUGUCCAAUAACACAGUAAUAAACAGAAAGGCUGUCAAAAAUCAACGAAAAUGCUAUUAAUUUCUUCUCAAAAGAGAAAUUCAAUGAAGGGAGCACCGACUAAUUCCAAAGAGCAUUCCACUACAAGGACCUCAAGUGACCCAAAAUUAAUCCAGAAGUUAGAGCUUAGCCCAACAUCAAUACAUACAUGUGAAAACUCACUCAAUUCAAUGAUUAUGUACCCAAAAAUAAUGAGCUAUGCAUAUGCUGCUUGCGUAUAAUCACCAAUUUAUUGACUAGAACAUGGGCAUUUGUGAUUUUAACUUAAUUUUACACCUUUCAUCCACACAUGUAAAAAAAACCUCAUUUUGAACUGAACUUGCAGCUCACUGAGUCAUAGCUUGGGACAUAUAUGACUGCUGACAAUGAAUUGAAAAAAUUAACAUUAGAGAAGAUACAAAAACCGUUAAGGAGAAUUCUUUUGAAAAAAUACCAUCUCUAUAUGAUUCCAUUGUAAGAGGGGAGGAUAUGAGCUGAAAUUCAACAAAAUCACAUUAUCACGAGUAAUAGUAAUUUAUGAAGAAGAUUGGAAAUUGAGAUAGAAAGGGUUGGAAAUUGCCAUGACAGGUUGUGGAGUCCCUGAUUGAGGAGUUUGAGUGUGGCAUGCAUAUCCAAAACAGUAUGCAUCUUUCUCUUUUAUUCAUGUUCAAUUUCAUACCUCUCUUGCGAGUGCAAACGAAUCAACAUAAGCCUGCAUAAUUUGAAACACAAUUAAAAUGACCAAAUGACACUUGUCAAACUGUAAAAAAAGCAGACCUGAAUAGUAAGGACAAGGGUUGUUCAUAACCAUUGAUUCAGAGUCAACGCUAAUUAAUGUUUCAGUGGAUCCUUGCUCGGGCUCAGGCACUAAAGAUGUUAAGGAUUUAACACUAUGAAUUGAGGAUUUAAGUUGUAAUUGCAUUUCGGGUAAUUUUUAAAAUUAGGGUCCAUCUGAAUUCAAAAUUAUAAGCAACUAGGGUCAAACAUAGCAUCAAGAUUCAUCCACACAAUCAUUCAUCUUGCAUGCAAUACCUCAUCCUCACAAUCCAAAACAACCACUAAAAUUCAGAUUCAUCAAGAUCAAAUGCAUUUGAAUGAGAUCAUAAAAGCAUAUCAUCGAUUUACAAAUUAUGAAUAAAGAAUUCAUACUACAAGUAUAUAAUUUCGAUCCAACCAUCUAUCCAUUGUGAAUAAAGAAUUCAUGAUACAAUAUCAUUUAGGAGUUCAAGAAAGUCAUAAAUAAAUCACACCAUUAUCAGCUGAAGUUCAUGAAACACACAUCAUUCAGUUGAGGUUCAUGAAAAUUACAUAGCUUAAGUUCAAGAAAAUCACAUGAUUAUUAGUUCAGGUUCAAGAAAACCACAUCAUUAUCAGCUGAAGUUCAAGAAAAUGACAUCAUUAUCCGCUGAAGUUCAAGAAAAUCACAUAAUUAGGAGUUGAAGUUCAAGAAAAUCACAUUAUUAUGAGUUGAAGUUCAAGAAAAUGGCAAUAUUAUGAGGUGAAAUUCAAGAAAAUCACAUCACUGAGAUACUAAGAAGUUGGCUCAAUAAGUGUAGUAAUUCAUGAAGAUUGGAAAUUGAGAUAGAAAAGAGAGAUAGAAAGGGUUGGAAAUUGAUUCUCUCACCCUCUUUCGCAUGCAUAUCCAACAUGAAACAGUAUGACUCAAUUUCAUGUGUACAAAAUCACAUCAUUAUCAGCUUAAGUUCAAUAAAACCACAUCAUGAUCAACUGAAGUUCAAGAAAACCACAUCAUUAUCAGCUGAAGUUCAAGAAAAUCACAAUGAGCUGAAGUUCAAGAAAAUCACAAUGAGCUGAAGUUCAAGAAAAUCACAAUGAGCUGAAGUUCAAGAAAAUCAUAUAACUAUCCGCUGAAGUUCAAGAAAAUCACUAUUAUGAGUUGAAGUUCAAGAAAAUCACAUAAUUAUCGGUUGAAGUUCAAGAAAAUCACAUUAUAAUGAGUUGAAGUUGAAGAAAAUCGCAUAUUAUGAGCUGAAAUUCAACAAACUCACAUUAUCAUGAGUUAUAGUAAUUUAUGAAGAAGAUUGGAAAUUGAUUCUGUCACACUCUCUCGCAUGCAUGUCCAACACUAAACAGUGCAAACGAAUAUGCGUAGAAUGAUUAUUAUUAUGAUCUCAACUUCCAGUGAUUCCACAUAUACAUCUCUCGGUCUCUCUCUCUCGCUCUCUCCCUCGCCUUCUCUCUCUCGCGCUCUCUCUCGCGCUCUCUCCCUCGCUCUCUCUCUCGCGUUUUCUGAAAGAACUUAUGCAACAACAUCCAAUGAUCUUGUCAUUAUAUAGCCGAUUAAACACCAACACUGUAAUAAAAUCUACCUAAUGGGCCUUACGGGGGCCUUAAUGGGCCUUGUUAAUCACAUUAUUUUGUCAUUGUUGUUUGGUAAAAUGAAAGUAUAAGCAUGAAAAAAGAAGGAGAACAUUUGUAAUAGUGCAUUUAACAGUAGAAGAAGAAAGUAGAAAUGGAGUUGUUGAAGAAGUGAGAGAGAAAGAAGUCUCACUGUUGUGCCCAUGUUCUUAAUUUCAAAAUCACUUUUUAAUAAAAAUUCCGGAUUUUUAGAUUAAAUUUUAUUUUCAGUAGUCAUUACUCAUUCCCUCAUUUCUGAACUAAUUAAUGACAUGACACUCAUUCAUUAUUGUUACAAAUGUAAGGGUGUUUAAUAUAUCUAUACAUAAUAUAAUAUUUACACAUAAUCAUUAUAUUAUUUAUUAUUGAUUUGAAUUAUUUUUUUUUAAGAAUCAAUAAUAAUUAAUAUGAUUGAGUAAUAGUGUAUAAAACACUUAAUUAUGUCAUUUUCAAUAGUGCAUUUGUUUAAAUUUCCCUUACAUUUCAAUCAUCAAUUCGAGUUUCAUAAAACUUCAUCAAUAUAAUCUUUGGGUGAGACUAUUGAUUUUCACAUGUGUUUAUUCAUACUUUUGAUUCAGUCCCGAUUUAGUUAAGAGAAAAUAACUCUAAUAAUAUAUUAGUUUUAUAAAUUAUCAUUACAUCUUUCAACAUCUGUGUUUAAUCUUUAUUAAUUACUCUUAAAAAGUAACUUAAAUGAAUAGUUGAUAAUAUAUAGAUAUUAUAUUUUUAGUUAAAUAAAAAGAUAUGAUUGAUUAAUUGAAAAUAUAGAAUUUAUCAAAAAUAUCUUAUACCAAAAAUCAAGAAAAUAGCUAAUCAUCAGUCUAUUUUAGGAGGGGUUGUAUGCAAUUUGCCCCCUCUUAAACUAAAGUAGCUUCCCUUUUCUUUUUUAUUUCUCAUAGAUAUCAUCGCACUAUAGGUAAUUAUGUCCAAGCCAAAAACAUCCACAAAUAUAUAAAUCUAACUCUUUUAAUGAAUAUUUUUUUAAUUCAUAAGAUUUAAACUCAAGACCUUACUUAAGGAAAAUCAAGCAUAUACCACAUGAACUAACCGUUGUUGAUAAAGUAACUUCCCUUUGCCACACUUCUUCCUAAUUCCCUAUAUUAUGUAUUUAAAUUACUAAUUCAUCAAUGAUUAUAUGCUUUAACAUGUUUGCUUAUUCUUAAGCAAGAAUUCAAGUCUUACCACAUAAUGUAUGCACUAGUUAUAAAAAAAUAUUCAAGAUGUUUGCUAAAUCUUAAAGACAUCAUAAACGAUUCAUACUCAAUAAAAUUUAAAAUACUCAUAGGAGACAUAAUUAGUGAAGUACCACUAUUCAAAAUUUUGUGAUGUACAUCGCCAAAUAAAUGUGUUACCUCAUACAACACAUAACCAAACACUCAUUACUUCAAAGUUGAGAUCAUCCCGUUAUACUCAUACUUGCUUGGUUACUUCUACAAAUAAUUCAUGGGCAAGAAUAAAUAUAUCAUAUUAAUACAAAGAGAUAAGUUAGCUUCUCUAGCCACUAAAAUAAUUACAAAUGUCCUAUCUAAUAUUUUAUACAAAAACAUUUCUAAAAAUUAAAAGAAAAUAAUACACAAAUCAUAAUUUUAAUGAUUAAAAAAAAUAAGAAUAUCAUGGAGAUACUCUAUUAUGAUCUUCUAAGCAUAUGAGGCCAAUCCUAAUAUUUUUUUCAUCUUGUGUAGUGGGUGUAAGCCACCCCUAAUUUACAAUUUUUUUAACUAUGUCAAGUUUUUAUGUCAAAUUUUGAAGUACACGAAAUAAGUUGAGUGCAAAAUAAAAAUUAGUAUGUGUUCUAAAUCAAAAAAAAUUCAUUUUUAUUUGAAUUAGAGUAGGCCCGAACAAUCCAACUAUAUAAAAAAGGAAGAAAACAACUUCAACAUAUCAUAAAACUACUCAAAUAGUCAAUGUGUUUCUUUACCACUUUACACUAGGUGAUUAGAUGGACCAUUUUAAUCACAUUAAAAUAAACCAAAAACAGAUAUUUCGUUAGAAUCAAUUAGGACUGGAAACGGGCCAAACCAAACCAAACCAGAAUUCAGCUCAAAACUCAACUCGAGUUCGAUACACGUUAUUUUCUUAGCUCAAGUUCAGUUUGAUUAAAGUUCGCGAACUAUUCAACUUAGUUCAAUUAAUUCAUUUGGCCAACUUAAAUUGUUAAUUAAUUCUUCAAAAAUACUACAAAAAAGUUUUAUACAUAUAAAUAUAACCAUGUUUGUAUAUAGUAAAAAUAAAUAUAAAAAAUAAUGGAUGAGUCAUAAUAAACAUAAAAACUAGUUUAUAUAUUUAUAUUUAUAUUUGUAUAUAUAUAUAUAUAUAUAUAUAUAUAUAUAUAUAUUUGUAUAUAUAUCGAGCUAGCUCAUGAAUCGAACUGUAUCCAAUUCAAGUUUGAUUCAUUUAUUGAACAAAUUCAAUUUCCAGCUCAAGUUUAACUCAUUUGAUUCAUGAACCAUGUUUGUCGAGCUAUAUAACGAAUCAUGUCUUGACAUCAUACACUAUUAAUUUGGAAUCAUAUGCAUAUUUUAAGUAAAAAAUAUAUAUAAUGUCGUUCAUAAUUCAGUUAAAAAACAUAAAUUCUAUUAUGGCUAAACCUAUUCAGGUGAUUCAAUAAAGAAUGACAACAAAUGGUGAGAUACUUCUAUAAAAGGAAAGUCCAAAGAUUGCUGAUCCUUUCUUAAACCAGAGAGGGAAGUCCGACUAAGUGAUUUACCCAAUUAAACUGGUUCAACCCUAUGUAAACCUCUUUCUAUUUGAUUUUCGGCUCUCUGUACACCCAGAAAUAUUAUCCCAUAUAUGUUAAACUUGAUGGAACUACAAAUUUGGUGCAUACAUUAUUAUUCAACAAAGAUAUUGGAAAAAUGAUAACAUAAGCAAAAGUAUCCCUGACAGACCUCUUUGGUUUUGACUCUGAUCAUACAAAAUCCAAUCGUUUAGGCUAAAAAGAAGCACCGUAGACAGACAUUUGCAUUCUAUCCAAUACGUUUAGGCUAAAAAUCAGUACAUCAAGGACUCACAUUGUCAACCAAAAUCUAAAUCUAUAAAAGAUUGCAUCAAACAGGUUAACUCCACAACAUUCUAUCAAAAGUCAACAAAGGUACUUUUAUUUUCUCCUCAAAAGAGAAAUCCAAUGAAGGAGAACCGGCUAAUUCCAUAGAGCAUUCCUCUUAAAAAUUUAAGUGGCAAAAAACAAAAACAAGCUUUCAAAACACAACACUAGUUCUAGUAAUUUCUUCACAAAGCAGAGAAGAUAAGCAAACAAUAGGAAAAAAUUAAACCUCAAAAACAAAUCCAACCUUAUUAUGCAAAAUCAAUAGCAAACUACAAUAUAUAUAUAUACACACUCAUACAACAACAUCAAGCCUUUGUCCUACUAGGUGGGGCUGGCUACAUGAAUCGAACGACGCCAUAAUGUUCUAUGGCUUUGUUUGUAAACCUUUAAUCAUUUCCCUAUGGAUAAAGAAUUUCCAUUUUAGAAGCAUUUAGAGACAUCACUUCUAAUUCAUAAUGCAAUUGCAUUGAAGGUCCAUAAACACUCAAAAUACCAUCCAGAUGUUACAUUAUGGAUAAAGAGUUCACACCUCCGUUGCAAUCAUUCUGAAACAAGAGGAGGCCAUAUUAGAAAUGUGUUUAAGGUCAUAUAGACUCAAAAUACCAUGCUUAUUUUACAAUGAAGUGGCAUUUAAGGACAUCAAAGCUCAAACAUGCCCCCAUCAAGAAUUUAGAUCAUGAAAAGUCUGCCAUUGCCUUUAAGUUAAGAAGGCACAAAACACAAUAAAAAAUUUACAUUAUGAAUAAAGAAAUGUGCAUUCAUUGACAAUGCAUUUAGGGUUAACCACGUUCAUAGGUUAAACAAUAUUAAUUUAGGGAGUUAGUGAUUUUGCAAAGUAGUAACAACUAAAUAUGGGAAACCGAAAGUUACAUACCCAUUCCAAGAGGAAUUUCUAUGACCCUCCCCAAUUUGCCCGUGCACUGCUUUUACCACCGACUACUUCACGAAUAAGAAAGCCAAAGCUAUAUACAUCAGCCUUCAUGGUUAACUGUCCACCCAUCGCAUACUCAGGCGCAAGUAACCACUGUCAAAUUUGAUGCCAAGGCAGGGUUAAAUGUUAAUCAGUCCCAAUGGACGGACCAAGCAAAUAAAUGAGAAUAUAACCCUAAUCCAUUGAAACUACCUGCUUCCGAUUUCUCUUUUUUGAACAAAUUAAAAGUAAGCAUAAAAAUUAAAAAACAUUCUUCGGGUAUAAACCGAGAACAUGCCUAAAGAGUUCUUAAGGGCCCAUUUGUGAAUUAAAUUUUGGAGGGGAAGAGAAGGAAAAGGAAGACUUCAGAGCUAUAUGACAAGUGUAUUUUUUCCCUUUCCAAUUCCUUCCCCUCCAAAAUUCAAAUCAAAAGAUAUUACUGUGUAUUUAAAACAAGAAUAUGAAUGAUCAAUUGGAUACAAACGUCUUUGUAUUGCUAUCUUCUCUCCUAGUUCUACUAGCAUACAUACCGAAAUAAUUAAUAUGAACACUAAAUAUGAUAAGAUCCUAUAAUUCUACUCCCAGUAAUAUCACACUAAAGGGGAGGUUUAGUGCAUGGGUAUUCCACCUAGUAAGGUUUGGGGAAGGUAGAUGCAUGCGAUCUUACCCUCACAAUCAAAGAGGUUGUUUCCAUAUUUGAACUUGUGACGUUCAGGUCAAAAGGGAAGCAACAUUCUCGAUAAUACUAUACUAAUUAAUAUUUUUCCUACAAAACUGAUAUCACAACAACAACGAAGCCUUAGUCCCACUAGGUGGGGUUGGCUAUUGAAGACUGAUAAUAGCUAUUUAAAAAUUAUGACUUCAAAUCUUCCAUGGCUAUAGCAAAACGAAAAAAAAAAAAAUUAUUAAGAAUCUGAAAUAUAACAUACGUUGUUCCAGCAAUUCUUGCGCUAAUGUGAGUGAUGUUAUCUGGAAAUAAUUUUGCCAACCCAAAAUCUCCUAUUUUUGGAUUGAAGUCUCUGUGAAGCAGUAUAUUGCUAGCUUUGAUGUCUCUGUGCACAAUAUGCGGCACAAGUUCUUCUUGAAGAAAUGCAAGACCCUUGGUGGUACCCAUGCAAAUACUAGCUCUUUUUCUCCAGUCAAGUCUGAUGAUAGAAAUCCAUGUGCCUACAGAAAAAGAUGAAGAAAAAAGAAGAUUAUAUAUUUCAUCCUCUGAACUGCAGAUCUUAGUUUGCAACUUCAUAAUUCACACCAAAGCAUUUCUCCAUUUUACCAAGUAAUGCACGAUCAAGGCUGUUAUUUUCUUCAUACUCGUAGACUAAUACACGACUUGGUCCUUCAACGCAGCAACCGAUCAAUUCAACAAGGUUUGGAUGCUUAACAUGUGAUACAGUAUUAAUUUCAGUAAAAAAAUCACGAACUCCCAGCCUUGACCCAGCUGAAAGGGUCUUCACUGCUACCUGUCUCCAAUAUUCUUACUUAUAUUCAUGUUGGGAAUAUGUAUAUAAUUUGUCUAACAUAUACAUUUAAGUGAAAUGCAGAAUUCUAUACUGGUUCUAUCAAGAAAAUUAGGGUAUAUAUCUUAAGGAAAGUAUAAAAAUAUUGCUGGAUUAUGCCCCCGAAAUUCAGACCAUAUCUUUUCCAAUCAGCGCUCUUUCAUACAUGAUGGGGAGAUCGUACAAGGUGAGAAGCCCUUGAAAUACAAAACCUGAUAUUGAACAUUUAUAUUAUCCAAUUAAUUAGCAGAUAUGUAAAAUAUAAAGAGUCUGUUGACGGUUCUCAGUGCAGCAAGCUACUCCACUUCCAACUUUGAGUUGUUCCCUAUUGUAGGUUCAGUAUUAAGUAACACCAAAGCUAUUUGUGUUAUGACUUACAGAUCUUAUUUCUCAAGGCACUUUUUUAAUGAAGCGUGUGACGUACCAAGAAAGUAAAUAUUUUGAGAAAUUUAUACCGUAUACAAACUAAUUUUUGACAUUCCUAUAUGAGACAUUUUUCCUCCACGAAUUGCAUACAAUGUUUCAUAUCACCAUUUCAAACGGAAUCAAUUAAUAGUAACAUGUUAUCUUUAAAACACGAAUAGACGUCAUUGCUAGGCAAUUUCAUGGAUCAUCACACACAUUUUGUAUUCUGCUACUAACUGACUAGACACCUUAUCAAACAGAUUUAUAUUGGAAAUAUUUUCAGCUUGUUGUUUCUGUAAGAAGCAGAAAUAAUUUUAAGGAACAAUCAAAUAAACAAUUGGCAUUCAAUUUCAGCAUGCCCCAAGAACGAGAAAGCUAAAAGCUUACAUGCCACAUUAUAUUGCACACUAAAGAACAUAAGUAAAGUAAAAAAUAAAUUCAAAAAAAGUAAAAAACACUAUACAAUAAAAACAAAAUAUCAUCUCUGUUUUUUUUCCUUCAACUAUGCAAUUCAAAACAAAGGUUACCUGGUUUGGCUUCACCUUAGGAUUACCUGGGACAUGGGUAGAGCUAAAUUGAUACGUUAAAGACCCAUAAUAGGAUGACUUAUUUCUUGAGGAUUCUCCUGAAUCAAGGAAGAAGCCUGGAGCUGUAAGUUGCUUCUCAUUGAGCCGGGUUUUCUUCGAUAACAUUAGCGGUCUUCUGCUUGUUGCUGCUUGUGUGCAGAAGAAAGCUACCUUCAUCAGUGGUCUCCUCCAAUAGCUUCCCUUCUUCAUGAAGUUGCCAAGCCUGUUAUUGCAAAAAUGAUCAUCAUUAGAACAACACACACAUCUUGAAUCAUGCUAAUGGAUUGGGAUCCUCCUCCAAUGUGAGUAUGAAUACAAUUUUGUUCACAUCAGAGAUAAUCUCACUUUAGAUAAGUCAAAUCCCACAAUAAAUAUAACACUCAGAACAAUCACAUCACUUUUUAAGGUAGUUAUAAUAAGAAUCAUGCAUUCAAUACUCAAUUGAUUGACAGUAGUGUAAAAAACCUUUAACAAUGUAUUAUAAUUAAAUCCUAUAUAUAAUGAUAAGAUUUCAUAGGUUAAACAGUAUUAAUUAGGGAGUUAGAAAAUAUAAAAUGCGUCAUUUUGCAAAGUAGUAACAACUAAAUAUGGGAAAUUGAAAGUUACAUACCAAUUCCAAGAGGAAUUUCUGUGACCCUCCCUCCCCAAUUUGCUCAAGCACCGCUUUUGCCACUAACUACUAUAAGAAUAAGAAAGCCAAAGCUAUUUCAUGGUUAACUGCCCACCGAUUGCAUACUCUGGAGCAAGUAACCACUGUCAAAUUUGAUGCCAAAGCAGGGUUUAAUAUUAAUCAGUCACAUAGCACAAUUAUGCAUUGACCAAAUAAAUGAGAAUAUAACCCUAAUCCAUUGGAACUAUCUGCUUCCUAUAUCUCUUUUUUGAACAAAUUAAAAGUAACCAUGAAAAUUCAAAAACGUUUCUUCGGGUAUAAACCGAGGACAUGCCUGAAGAGUUCUUAAGGAUCUAUUUGUGAGUUGGAUUUUGGAGGGGAAUGGAAGGAAAGUUACCAGAGAAAAGAGAGAUGGGUAUCUUGCCGAAGAUUGAAAUUGAGAGAAACGAGAGAUGGGUUUCUUGCAGAAGAUUUUCGGCUAUCUGAUCCUGCAACUGUAAAGAAGACAUAAGAAACAAGCACAAUACCAUGAAAACCUUUCUGUACAUGGAAACAAUUACAGAAACUCAAGUUCUACCUGAGAAAGCAAGCAGAAAAUUGGGCAAAACAAUGAUAGUAAAGGUAACCAGAAUCAGCAGGAAACAAACAAAAACAAAUAAUUUUAGCAUAUUCAAGAAAAUGUUACCAACAUCUAUUUUUCAUAAUCUUUGGUCAUAUCUUGAACGCAUGGCAUCUUCAGCAAGUUUCAGGACAAAUUAUAUGGCUUUCUACUAAUAAAUUAUAUUGCUUUUGCAAGAGAUUGGCAACCUAUAAUGUCCACCAGACGAAUAAUACUUGUGAAUACUGACUGUAAUUUCUGGCAAGAAAGAGACAGUAGCUCUGAUUUUAAUUUCUACCAGAGCAGAUAUAAACAUAUUGCUCAUCAUUUGUCAGAUUGGCAACCUAUAAUGUGAACCAGAAGCUAAGUCUCUAAAUUAAUACACGAGAGUAAGGUUACCUAGUGUUUGUCCAUAACAUUAAGCACUUAAUGUUAUGAGGAAAUUAACAAGUUGUCCUUCUUGCAGCAAAAUAUCAUACGUGACCUCAACACAACACUAAAAGACUAUUCACGGGUGACAUGAAGCAAGUAACAUCCAACAUUCAGAUCAUCUUAAUAGUUAAAUAGAUAUAUAAGAAGAUAGUACAAGGUAUGCACACGAUUAUAAAAAUAUUUUACCUUUGCCUGUAAUUUUUCAAUUUUUGCAAUGGCCAUAUCAUGCUCCUCUUCAAGCUCUGACUAGCAACUCGAUCAUUUUGUGUUCUUUAACAACCAUUUGGAAACGUUCUUGAAGUUCCUUAUGAACCCAUAUUGGACUCUCUAGCUUAUUCUGCAUUUUUUACAGCUUUUGUUCUAGCUGCAAAACAAAAUAAUUUGCUCAUUAUUCUGCAUUAAAAUAAAUGUUGUGCUUAUGGAUAAGAAUAAUAGGAGGAAUCCACAUAGGAUAGAGGGAAAUUUACUUGCAAGUCUAAUAGCACCAACAUCCCCACCCUUAAAAAUAGAGCUUACGUAUACUUUGUGCAAAAAAUUUCAUCAGCGACAAAAUUCUACCCGUCAUGAUCCAGUUUCUAGUUAUAGAGCAAAUCAAUCCUUACAAUUAUCUCCAUACACAACUUAGGGGAAAAUGAAAUGUAUUAUGCAGAUAAAAACCUAUAAUGCAAAUCAGUCAUCUUAUCAUUUAGAGAAUAUGAUAUAGUUAUACAAUGGAAACUAGCCUGCCUCUCCCUUCGAAAGGUAUUCACAACUCUUGCAGGUAGGGAGAUAAGCCCAAUCGUCCAUGUUAUAGUUCCCAAUAUUAUGUUUAAAUGGAAGAUAAUUGUAGCCCAGAUCAACGCAGUCCAAGCAUAAGUGACAAUUAAUGCAGUUCUGAUCCAAAUCCAGUAUGCCAGUAUAAGUAGAGAGAAAGGCCUUGUCACCAAGAGUAUUAUGUUAGCCAAUGGCUUGGAAAUCAAUGCCAUUUAGUGUUAACCACGACCAUCCUGGAUUUACAUUAUGAAUAAAGAAUUAAUAUUUCAUCAAGGCAGAUACCUUUGAGCAAGUGAAUAAUGUCCUUCAAAGUUAUUCCAUCCACUUCCUUUAAGAAAUAUUUGGUAGGUUUCCUGAGAGUAAAGGAAGAUACCUUUGAGCAAGAGACACUAUACUCUCAAACAUACAACAAAAGCAUAUGCGAGUAAAAAUCAUGACAAUUUAUGUGAAAACCAACAGCUUCAUAUUCCUAUUUUUGUCGCUUUGCCACGAGAAUUGCCACCAAAGACGGAAUCUCCGAUGCAACAGAUCACUUCAGCAAUGACACAAGCCUAAUGACAAUAAACAUGUUUGCUGCAAAUUUUAAUUUUCUAAAACCUACUUUAUCAUCAUAUCUGCAACCUUAAAUCACAUUCCAUAACUGAACUCUUGUCUGCUAAGACAUGAAACCUAAGAAAAUGAAAUACUAAUACAAAUAAAUUAAUAGAGAUUUUCAGUAAACAAGCAAUAAAAGACAGACAUUCAAGGCAGAAACACAAUAGAAAUCCUUGAAUGAAUAAAAUUAUUUGCUAAGCUCAAAUUAAUAGUGAAGUUAGAAUGUCAUCCCCAAGCCAUACCUCCAAGAAUAUCAUAUGGCAAUGAAGUUAUAUUAUAAGCAUGCUCUAAGAAUCACUUAUUUGUCAACUUGUUAAUUCGAAAUAAACUGACAAAGAUGAGCCCCGUUUAUUUAUUCAGCAUGUAACAUCUUUUAGUCCAAACGUGAAUCAUUUUAUUUUUUUAAUGACUCUAAUCCGAAACUUGAGUUUACACCUUUUUGUCUUUCAUGAUUUGAAUACCUUGGGUGGAACCUGCAAUAUUACCUUGUUCCAAGGGCAAGAAGAAGCUCACAUGUUUUAAAGUGGAAACUCUUUGAUUCCCUGUUAAUUGUGUUAGUAUAAACCAUCAAAUUAUCUUUGUAGGCACUUCCAUAUUGAGAAAACAAUGAAAUCAGGCUUAUGUUCAACUUGAUAUAGUAAUGGACAUAAAGUAAAUGUAAAAAGGACUAUGGGUAAAAAAAAUGCUGUGAAAAUAUCAUGACCAUAUAAGUUGCCAAAUUUUACUCCUCAACAACUUAGUAUGAAAGUCAAAAUGGAAAAGUUAACAUGUACACUUUCAUGUAUUCAUAGUAUAUGAAUACAUGAAAAUGGAAUGCUCGAGGGUGUUACGGAAUUAGAAUAUCAUUUCAAAAUUACCUUAAGUGCUGGAAGGGCCUUAACAUGGCUCUUCAUGAUUACUGUCGGAACUGCAUUGUUUAAAACCUGAAAGUAUUCUUUUAGAUUAGAAUUAUAGAGCUAAAGUUUAUACUGCCAUUUGUCUGUUCUCUCAAGAUCUAAAAUUAUUGGCAUUGGUAGGAAGAAUGAUGCUGAAAAUUGACCAUUUCCUUGUUUCCUUGAUGGUCUUCAUUAUCUGCAUCAUGGGGACACAAUCCAACCACUUCUACAUUUUUGGAUUGGACCACACACUCCAGUUUUGGGUAUCAAAGAUAACAUUAUUUCAGUUAACUUAUUAUACUAGUUCAAAUUCAUUUCAUUAAUGCAAUGCUUGGCCUAUAUAUAUACAUAUAUUAUUUACUAGGAUCAAGUUGUGUAUUAUUAGUAAGUUAGUGCAAGUGCUCAACAAAAACACCUUACAAAAAUUCAUCAACCAUUUUUUGGGUACAACAUUCAAUAUUGAGGCAGCAAAACAUAAUUUAAUCUGUAACAGAACCACAAGUGUGUCAAUUUUUGAGUUUGGAAGUAAAAACCAUGUACUAUUUGUUCAUUAUGUCUACCAAUUAUAGAGGAAUGGAAAGGGCAUUCAAAAAAGAAGUCAAACUAUUCAUCAAUCUUUCUUUAUUAUAGUACUUGUAUGUUUCUUCACCCAGUGCAAAAAACAGCAGAAGCAAACAUGGUAAAAAAGAAGAACUCAAAUAUUAAAAAUUAAAGAAAAUAAAGAAAGGGGUGGCACCAAUAAAGGGUCGGAAAGUCAUUAAAUAAAUCAAAUUUCAUCUUUUUCUCAUUAUCAGCUGAAGUUCAAGACAAUCACAUCAUUAUCAACAGAAGUUCAAGAAAAUCACAUCAAUAUCAGCAGAAGUUCAAGAAAAUCACAUCAAUUUCAGCUGAAGUUCAAUAAAAUGGCAUCAUUAUCAGCUGAGGUUCAAGAAAAUGGCAUCAUCAUCAGUUGAAAUUCAAGAAAAACACAUCAUUAUCAGCUGAAAUUCAAGAAAAUCACAUUAUUAUCAGCUUAAGUUCAAGAAAACCACAUCAUUAUCAGCUGAAGUUCAAGAAAAUCGCAAUACUAUGAGCUGAAGUUCAAGAAAAUCAUAUAACUAUCCGCUGAAGUUCAAGAAAAUCACAUUAUUAUGAGUUGAAGUUCAAGAAAAUCGCAUAUUAUGAGCUGAAAUUCAACAAAAUGACAUUAUCAUGAGUUAUAGUAAUUUAUGAAGAAGAUUGGAAAUCCAGAUAGAAAGGUUCAACCCUCAAUUGCAUGCAUAUCUAACACUAAACAGUGCAUCAUUCUCUUUUUUUCAUGUUCAAUUUCAUACCUCUCUUGCUAGUGCAAACGAAUAUGCGUAGAAUGUUUAUUAUUAUGAUCUCAACUUCCUGUGGAGUGAUUCCACAUAUACAUCUCUUUCUGUCUCGCGAUCUCUCUCUCUCUCGCACACACACACACGUUCUCUCUCUCUCGCACACACACACACGUUCUCUCUCUCUCUCUCUCUCUCUCUCUCGCACACACACAUAUUUCUGAAUGAACUCUUGCAACAUCAUCCAAUGAUCUUGUCUUUAUAUAGAAACUAAACACCGACCUAAGCCGUCAAUAAAAUCUACUUAAUGGGGCUUAAUGGGCCUUGUUAGUACAUAUUUUAUGUUACUUUUUUAUUUUAUUGAGUUUUUCAUAAAAUAAAGUUUUUCAAAAAUAUUUAUUGAGUUAUUUAAAAACCAUUGGAACUUUGGUUUUGAAACCAAACAUCAUAGUAGAAAUUCAGAUAGUGUCAAACAUUAAAUAGAAAUUUUAACCAUGAGUGUUUGGAACCACAUUACAAAUUGUUGAAUAUGCUUUUUAUAAAUGUGGAAGCCAUUUACAACAGCUUUACAUGAAAGAUAUGACCCCAAAAAGGUUUUCUCCACCAAAUCAAAUUAUUAUUAUUAUUAUUAUUAUAAUAUAAAAGCAAAAGAUAAAUGUGAAUGAACAAUUCAAAGUGAUAAACCUUAAAGACAUAACUAAUAUUGUUGAUGUUGAAUCUCAAUAAAUUAAACUUUAGUUUAAAAUCUUUGUUUUUACAUAAUUGUUUGUAAUUCACUACAUGUGAGGAUUUUGAUUAAUAAACAUAUUAGUGUGAAAGUUCUUAGCAACUAACAAUGUGAAAAACAAUAAAGUUUAAGGAACAUAAAUAAAUAAACAAACAAAGUUUACAAUAUACCUGACAACAAAAUAUAUAAAAUUCACCAUUGUUUUGUAAAUCAUUAUGGCAAACUAGUUGUUUUAUUUGGAUUUUAGACUCCACUACUAAAGUACACCAUCAUUAUAUUCAUUAUUCAAGAUGUACAUCUAUAUGAUUUUUCAUAUGGGUGAAUAGUUUUAUAUGGACCAAUUAACUUUGUCGAUGAAAGUGCAGAAAAUUUUAGAAAAUACUGAAGGAAGUUAUUUUCUCCGAACAAACUUAUUUUGUAAUUUAUCAUGAUGGAAUAAGAUCUUUUUUGACAAUAAUUAAAAGGAAGCUAUUAUGCUUGAAAAAUCGUAUAUGAUCUUAAAACUAUUAAAAUAGUUAUUUCAAAAACCAAUAUCUUAAACAGAACUCUCAUACUUGUUUUCUUUCCUCACGAGUUCCAUUUUAGUUGCAAAUAUUAUUGAAUAACUUUACGUGGUUAUUUAAUGGAUUAAGAUAGGAUGACUUUGUUGUUACCUAGUUAGUGAAAACUUGGAAGGUGGCUUAUUCUCUUUAAUAUGAUAAUGAUUUAAUAUAGUUGUUCUCCGAAGGCUACAACAGUCCAACAUCAAAGUAAUUGAUGAGUUUUUAGACAUUGAUGGUUGAGAGUAAACUUCAAGAGAGUUGAUUCGCUUCUCUUUGUAUUAAUACAUUAUAUUAUAUAGUUAAUAGUAUCUCUUAAUUAAAAAAUCAUCAAUAAAUUUAUAAUUUCAUUAUUAUUUGAUUCUAGAGUAUGAUUAGUAUAAAAAUACAUAUUAUUAUUAUUUGACUCUAAAAUAACUACAAACAAUAUGUUAUAGUUCAUAUUGUAACUAUUUUAAUAUUGCUACAAUAACAUUAUAUUAUUCUAAUAUUAUAGUCAAACACUAAACUCUAAAUAAAAUAUAUUCAUAAUGAACAUUACCUAAAAUUAAGGAAUAAAAAAUAAUUCAAACAAAAUAUAAAUCAAAUAUGUGUUAAAAUGCAUUCAACUUUUUAUAUCUUUUGAUUGGUUUUAAUAAAACACAUAUAGAAUAAUCACUUACACGAUCACAAUUAACUCAAAUAAAAAAUAUUGUUUUUCAAUAAUUUUAAUAAAAAUAAGAAUAUUAUUAUCUUUAUUUUAGAUUGAGGUAGAUUAUGUUUUAUACCAUGAUUUUGAUGUUUUAAUAUUAUGAAUUCUUAUAAAUUAUAAUCAUAAAUAAUGAUCCAAAUUACUUUUAAUAUCAAUAAUUGUAGCCAAUAACAUGGCUUAUUUUUUAUGAAUCGCAUAGGUAAGUAUAUCUCUUAUAUUUUUAAAUACUUAUCUCAUAUUUUUUCAAUUUUAUAAUUUCAUUUUUAUGCAUUAAAGUAAAACAAUGUGAAUAGAUUUUACAAUAGUUUGUAAAAAUAAAAUUGUCAAAAUCAAUACAACUAAAAAAUAAGAUGAAAAUUUGAAAAAUCCAACAAUGUAUGAAAUAAAGAUAUUGAUUAAGGAAAAAAUUAUAAUUUUGUACUAUUAUUUUCCUAUAAUGGUAAAUGAUAUAUUAUGAUUCACCCCCUAUAUGUGAAUCAUAAUUGUACGUAUUGCUUGACAACUAAUUGUUUAUAUUUAUUUAUUUGAUGAGUAUCAAAUUAAUUAAUAUAUUUGACAAUUUAAUGUAAUUAAUUAAUUAUCUAUAAUUCCAUUUUUUGACUGAUCCAAAAAAGUUGAACUACUCUAUUUCUUUAAGACAAAAAUAGAAUAACUUAAUUGUUUCUUUAUAAUAUAAUUGUAACUAUGUAUUAAUUUUCUAAUGUUAAAGUAAUUAUGAAUUAUGCUCAAUAAAUCACAUGUAUUAUGGAAUUAAUGUGUUACAUCAUUAUCUUAUUAUAUUUGACCAUUUAAGUUAAUUGAUUAAUUGUGUAUAAUGUCAUUUUGUAACUGAUAAAAAAUGAUUUUUUCUAUUUCUUUAUAAAAUUAAUAAUAGAAUUAUUUAAUUAUUUCUAUAUCAAUAUAAUAAUAAUUUUGCAUUAAGUUUCUUUAUCAAUAUAAUUAUUUGUUUAUUUCAUUUUUUAACUGAUCGAGAAAAUUUGAACUUUUUGCUUGUCCAUGACAUUUAUCAUGCAUGUUAUGGAAUUCAAUGAAUCAUAACAUGUUAUAGGUUAACUGCUCCAAAUUUAAACAAUUUUUUGGGAAUGAAGUAGAACAUCAAUAAGUGGAUAUUACUCAAUUAAUAUUCCGAAAAUUUAUUAGUUAUAAUGCUGCUAUAAAUUUAUAUUCCAUUUUUGUAACCCAAUUGCUUUAAUAUUUUGAUUAUUACAUCCUAUUAAAGAUUAAAGAGAAAUUCAAUCCAAAACAAAAUCAAAAAUCAAAUCACAAAAUUAAUUGUGGUGAACAACUAUUUAGAUUUUAGAUAACAAAGUAAAAGACAUUCGAAGACAAUCAUGCCUAAUAAUUUUGACUUUUAAAGUGUAAUUACAAAUUGAUUAAUUACGUGUAAUAUCAUUUUUUAACUAAUUGAAGAAAUUUGAAUAUUUCUGUUUGUUUAUGACAUUAAAAAUAGAACAAUUUAAUUAUUUUUUAUCAAUAUAAUUAUAAUUUUUCAAAUGUGCAUUAAGUUUCGAAUGUUAAAGUAACCGUGUAAUAUGCUUAAUUAAUCACGCACAUUAUAAAAUUAAAUAAAUAAAGAUAAAUUAAUGGUUUGCUAAUAUAAGCAAAUUAUCGAAAAUAAGGUAAAACAAUAAUGACUAGGUAUUCCGUAAUUAAUAAUCUUCAAAUGUAUUAGUUAUAAUUUUCAAAUUUAUAUUCCAAACUGAUCCAUAAGUUCAAACAAAAUAUAAUAUAAAUGGAAUUAAAUAUUAAUAUAAAAUCAAAUUUAUUACUUAUAAAUAUAAUAUAAAUGAAAUUAAAUUGUCUACAUUGCUAACGAUUAAUAUAAUGAUCAUAUUUACUAUGAUUAAUUAGAUAAAAUAUAUAUGUUCAAGAAUUAAUCAUACCAAAUUAUUUAUGAUGAGAAGAAAAAAGAUUAUAGAUUAUUCCUACUAAUACAAGGUUAACACAUUCAGAUUGUGAAAAAAUUAACUUUGAAUGAGAAUGAGAAAGGACAAACACAUAAUAAAAUAAUAAAAUUAAAGAUAUUAUUAUUCUACAGUUAUAGUGAAUGCAACAUCUAAUCCUUAUAUUAUAGGAUGUGAGAUUUCUCUUCUGCAAAUGGUGAAACAAUGAACAUGACCAAUUCGUGUUUACUGCUUUAGCAAAAUAAUCACAUAAGAAAGAAAUAUUUGAUAAAAUAUCAUGUGAGAAAAUGAAGUUUUUAUUAUAGAAUACCGAUAAUAAUGAAGUUUUUUCUAGAAUACGGAAAAAAUAUUAUCUUGUGAUACCUUGUUGAUGUAAAUUAAUUGAAUGUUGAAGAAGUUGAUUUUUACAUAUGAGAAUAAAGAAUAUUGUGUGAGUAAAGUAACGUACAUGUAUAAAUUGAUAUAAUAAACCAAUUAUAUCUACCAAUAAAGAAAAAAUAAAAAGGACUUAAAAUCAUACCCGUUAGUAGCUUUGAUAGUUGAAGAUCAUAUAUUUGUUUAACAAAAUUGAAGAAAAAAAAUGAGAAAUAGUUUUGAAAAACAUAGUUAAGACACAUUGUUACAACCAUCACAAAUACUACUAAAUAGUAAGUACUAAUAUGUUGACAUAUACUAAUAGAAAACACAAAUGUAGUUAUGAGAAGGAUGAAGUAAAAAUGAAAAAUAAAAGUAAAAUCAUACCUGAGUUGAUGAAGAUGAUAGAUUUGUGGAACACAAAUUAAAAAAAAAAAUAGUUAUGAAAUGAUGAAGUAAAAAUGAAAAAAAUACUUCCAAGUAAUAACUACCAAUAUGUUUAUAUAUGCAUUUUAUUAUCAUGAUGAUGAAGUAAAAAUGAAAAGAGUAUAAAAUCAUAUUUACGAGUUGCUUUGACAUUUGAAAAUAAAGAAGUAAAAAUAAAAAAAGAAUAAAAAAUGAUACCUUUGAGUUGAUUUAAGUUGAAGAAGAAGAUUUGUUAAACAAAAUUUGGGAAAAUAAGAAAUAGUGUAUAAUUUGAGUAGAGAGAAUGUGAUAUUUUCAUAAUUUUAAAGUUAUUUGUGAAAGAUAUCCAAAUAAAGUGUGUUUAAUUUAGGAAUUUCAACAACCCAUCAAUUUUACAAAAAAACUCUCUACUACUUUGUAUACUUAUCACAAAUGGAGAGUGUCCAAUUUUAUAAUUACAACAACCUUUCAAAUUAACACAAAUAACCUUUCUAUGUACAGUUGUCACAAAUGUAGAAUAUCUACUUUAGCAUUUUCCAUAUAGCUCUUUCUUUUCUUAUAUAGAAGAUAAUAGUUAUAUAGUUGAUUUUAAAAAUUUAACUAGUGGCAAUGUCAUUAGUUGCAAGAAAAAUCUUUUCAUAUUGUGAUCCAGGCACAAACACAAUCUUCUACCACCAAUUGAAUUGCAACAUUCUGGACAAAAUCAAAGUGAACCACAAACUGUGCCCAAAAGUUUUGAUCAACAUUGUUUCAGGGGUGUAUCAUUGACAUGGAAGUGCAAUUUGGAAAUCUGAUUUGGUGGAAUAAUUAAUUGUUGAUAGAAAAUGAGAUAAGAAAAAUGCUCUCCGGCAGAAGCAUCAACACACUGGAAGGUAAAGAUGUUUAAGAGAACGGGGGAAUAUUUGUGAAUACUGCACUAUGUCAAUUUAACUUACAGGAAUCCUUAUAAUAGCAUAGGCAAAAUAAACAAAUGAACAAAUAAGUAGAAAUAACAUGAAAAUUUGAUAAGUAAAUAUAAACAGCAAAUCGUUUCUCUGAGAAAGAGCAAUAUCAGGACACCGACAAAAGACACCACUAAUUUUGGCAUGCAUUGAAGAUUUUCUAGAACUAUGAACCAAAAAAGGUAAUUAACCAAAAAUACAUAAAGUGAAAAGAUAUGAAUUUAAGGAGUGCAAGGAAAAUAGAUGCAAACAUCACCUUUACCAUAAAGUGUGACAAUCAAUAGCAGGCUUAUAAAAUUCAGGAUUGGCAAAGCUCCCUUCAUAUUUCUUCCUUCUAAUGUCUAUAUCUUUUUUGUCCUUUUUACUUCUUCCAAUUUCUCAGGUGAAGAUUUUCAUGUUUUUGGCAUGUGUUCUAGCAAAAAAUAUAAACAUUCAUGCUCUUCACCUUCUUUUGGCGUGUGUUUUAUCAAAAUAGCUCACACCUCCCAUCAGGGGGUCUCUUCAAUAUUCAAAAUUUCCUGUGACAAUAAUAUGCAUUGAUGGAAGAAACUACAAAUACCUCCUUAAUCUAUAUGACUUUUCAUUGGGACUGGUUUGAUCAGCUUCAUUUAUUUAUCAAUUGUGUCACUAUAGAGUACAGACAUUUUACCCAUCUUUGUUCAUCUGUAAAGAAACAAAGGAAAACCCAUCACUGUGCAUAUUGGGAAAUAUCAUGUGAAAGAUGAAUAGAAGUUCCACUGAAAACAUAACAGAGCUAAAACUACAAUUCAUCUUUCAACUCACCAUCAAAUCCUUGUUUCACUUGUUCCUGUAACAGAACCACAUAAACUUUUCAAUUAUUCAUCAAUUCUAUAGAAGAAUUGAAAAUAAGGAAAUGCAAGUAACAUAACUAUUCAAAUUAAAGGAUACUGUCAUCUUACCAGGCUAAAUUCUUUAUGCUUCAAAAGCACAAGCCAAACAUGUUCCUCUCCCAGAAGCACAUUAUUUCUAUUUUGUUCCAGUCUGACCCCCAGCAUCACCUUCCUACAUAGCUGCUAGUGCCUACACUAGUGGUAUCCAUGUUACUUCUGACUUAACCACAGCUAAAAGUUGGUUUUGCAAUAUCCUCUACUUUUCCAGGAGCAGGAAUAUUAGGUUGAGGCUUAUGUAUAUUUGUAUCAGCAAUUCUAUUUGCAACCCGUGAAUUGCAGGGAAGUUCUGUCCAUCUAAUCAGAGGCUCGUAGUGAGGAUUACGACCAAAGAUUUAUUUCUCUCAAUCGAAGGACAAAGGAGGCUACCUGACUAGGCACAAUGUUAUUUGAUAAAAAACAGUAAUGGCAAAUAUUAUACCUAAAGAGUGAAAUUAGUAUGCAAGUCCCUAUACUUUUUAGAGCUUUCAAAUAUGUCCCUAUAGUUUCGAAAAACAAUCAACUGGAUCCUUGAAGUUAUUUUUUUAAAACUAUAAAAACUCAUUCACAAUUUAGACUACGAAGAUUAUUAGUUAAAAAAUUCCUAAAAACUACAUGAACUUGUGGACUAGUUUGACCUCUCAAGUAACAUCUAAUCAGUAUGUACUGACCCUGACUUGUUGCAGGACUUGGGGUAGGACUGGUAACCACAUUGCAGUUGUUGCGUCUAGUGCCUGAACUCACAGUAUGAGUUGCCAAUGUGCCAGAGAAACUUGCAUAACGCCAGAAACAUGCAAUAAAAUGUGAAGCCAAAUCAAGAACUGAAUCAACAUAAGCAUGCAUAAUUAGAAACACAAUUAAAAUGACCGAAUGACACUUGUCAAACUGUAACAAAAGCAGACCUGAAUAGUAAGACAAAUGAUGUUCAUAGCCAUUGAUUCAGAGUCAACGCUAAUUAAUGUUUCAGUGAAUGCCUGAACCCCCUUCAAAAUCCAGAACCAUCACACAAACCUCUUUGGUUUUGACUCUGCAAUCAUACAAAAUCCAGUAUAUUUAGGCUAAAAGGCAGAGUACCACACUUAUAGCAGUUUGCAUAGGUGUGGUUUUCCACCCAUACUAGAAGUAGGGUUCCCAAAUAUAGGAUGGAGAACAGCCUGCUGUAAAGAUGACUCCUAGUGUUGCGCUCUCCACCCUGUAAUUGAUGAGCCCUCAUUUGGAUCAUACAGGGACAUGUACUGUCUUGCAUGGUAAAGUUAGAAUCACAUAAAAUUCUGAUAUGCAUGUAGGCCUAAUCACACAACCUAGAGCUGUACAGAAGGCUAGGUAAGUGUUGGGAAGUCCCACAUCGACUACCUCACAUUCUUGGGAAUUGUUUAAAUACAUGUUCAACUACAUCUCUAUUAGCCAAUUAGUUUUGAGAUGAAACUUCACAGUAAGUAUAUUGCAUGCAUGAUAUCAUUUCAAACACACCACAUCUUAUAUUUGCAGGGGUAUAAUACCUUUAAGGGAAGUGGCAAAUGUCCUGUAAUUAAAUAAAAAAAAAAUAUGAUAACAAUUGUAUGGUUGCUAUCUUUAUCAGAUUUUUUAAGUCAAGAAUCUACGACAAGCACCACAAAUCUCCUCUAUCAAAUCUAAUGAAUAUGCAAUUUUAAUUAAUCAGAGCAGUAUAAGCAAAUAUGUAUUGAGAAGUUACUGCUUUAAAUAGAGAUCAUAGUCAUACACAUAAGUUCCAAUCAUUAUAAACACUCAUCAUUCUGACGUUCUAUAAAUUUACCUGUAUCACUGUAUAUUUUUAUGGCAAAAGUGGAGAUUGCAGGAAGCAGCAAAAUUGCUGCACAGAGAUACACACUUCUGUCUACACACCAUCACCUGAGAAACUUUAACUGGGCUUCAAUUUGUGCAGGUCUGCUUCUAUGUCACUGUUAUUCUCACUCUCAUCACCGACACUCUUAAGCUUCCUCCUUUUGCCAAGAUACAAUCUCACUUAAAAAUUGAGAAACAACAAAAUAGCACCAUUAAGCACACAGUUGAAAAUCCAAGCAGCAAGAGCAACCCAACAUGGGAAACCAAAUUGAAACCCAAUAACACAGCCUGGCAAUUGUAUGGUCGUUUUUUUUUUAAAAAAAAAAUAACUUUUCUUAAAACCACUUUUCAAAAAAAUAAAAUAUCUACCCUUGAUAAGGGUAGGCCAAGGCCAUGUAUUACAAAUGUAUAUAAAAGAGGCAAAAGAAAAGUAGUUAUGUGGUAGUUUUGUCAAUAAUACCCUUAGUUAGUUAGAAAAUUCAAUAAAGGGAUGGAAAAUUAGUUGGGAAGUUUCUGGAUGUGGAACCAGAGAAGAGAAUCGUGGGAUCCAUUGUAUUCUAACAAUUCUACUUUUGUAAUCUUCCUAAAUUCUUAGCAAUAAAGAAACAGCUCUACUCAACCUAGAAUCCAUUGAUUCUGGAGAGAAGCUUGAAGAUCAACACUCCCUUGACCCCACUAGGUAGGAUCUUCAUGCACUGGGCUGCCCUGCUUAUGGUUGUUUGAUCUCAUCAUCUCAUGAAUGUAAUAAUCAAUUUACAAGUAAAUCAUGUACUGGAUUCUAGUCUUUUAAUUUACUUCUUUCAUAUAUGGCCAGCCAACAUUUAGAGCGAAAGUCAGCCGUAUCAAAAUAAUCAUGCCAUUAAGAAGCAAAAUGCCCAGAUCAAUUGAGUCAGAUUUAUCCAGACUGACAAAACUUACUUUGGUACCAGCUGGCAUGUCACUCAAAUCAUAGUUGCAAAUGAAAGUGUGAAGGGGUCUUUUCGGAUUACUUAGCACCUGCAGAGAGCAAUCACAUGCAAUAGUAAAGCAUUAUUACAAAAAAGACAGUAAUCCUCACAGAUGACUUGAAAGUGGAACAAAAUGUGCUAAUCUACUUAUAUGCUUGCUAAAAUGGAUUUAUUUGGUGAGGAAAGAGGGGAAAAUGUCGAUAGGUAUGUACAGAAUCAGUGAAGCCUAGUCCAAAUACAUCAAUCCUUCUCCGCCACCUAAAAGUUCUCAACAAACAUGACACAAACGAGCCUAUGAUGUAUCAGUGACUCUAACAACACACUUUCUGGACCAUGCAAUCAAAGAAAACAGGUCAUUCUAAUUAACUCAGCUACCAAAAGGGCCAUUCUCUUCGAAUCAUAAUUCAAAAAAUAAUUCUUAACCCAAAAAUCUGAUAAAGAUAGCAGCCAUACAAUUAUUAUCAUAUAUUUUAUUUAUUUAAUUACAGGACAUUUGCCACUUCCCUUAAAGGUACCAAACCCCUGCAGAUAUAAGAUGUGGUGCUUCUAAUUUUCUUGAUCUUUAGAGGCUAGUCAUGCUAGCUUGUCCCAGGGUAGUACGAAAUUGCAAGCAGAAGGGAACUGGACACGGCUUGUAACUAUUCCAUUAGCACAAUCAUUUGAAAACAAAAAAUUUCUUCUGAAAUUGAGGAUACUUUAAGUUGUUCGAAAGAUUAGUUACUUUUCAAAUGACAACAGAUGGCUUUGACCACAAUAACCUAAGGUUAUUAAAAAUGGGUUUAAAUUACAAAUUCCAUAUUGCAACCAGAAUUUCUCAAAUAUGUUGUAGCCAUUGAGUACAAAGAGAGUAAAAACCUGCCCAAGGCUCCCACCAGUAGGGUUUGGGGAUGGUAGAUGUACAUAACUUUACUCUUCACAAGUGGAGAGACCGUUACCUGACUGAAAUAAAGAUGGUGAAAAGUUCAUCAAAAGAAACAACUUAAAACAAUUAACAUUCUUAAGAAUGAUAAAGAAGAUCCUAAAGAGCAUUUUUAUAAAUGAUUAAUAGGAUCAACUGAUGGAGGAGGAAGAAUAGAUGAAUCAAUUGCACAGGUUAAAAACAAAAUCAGAAGAGAAGAAAUAAUGACAAGAGGAACAAAGCUCCAGAAUUUCCUAUGUUCCUUUUAAGGAUAAGCAAAAAAGAAACCUAUUGAUGUUCUUAAGUCUACGCUGAAGAUCUCUUUGACAAAAAGGAUCUAUAUUACAAUAUAACAAUUUCAAAUUCAAUGUUACUGAAAAAAGAUAAUAUGCAGAUGCGAACUAUAUAAAGACCAUGGGAGCAUCCCCAUCACCCCUUAUGCAACCAUAUAAGUUCGUUUGAAGUCAACGUUACACAAAUUAAAAUGUUCACAAGACACCCUGUAACAACUAUGCAAUAUUUUGCCACCACUCAUGCUCACACUGCAGGCAGGUAGUAUGACGGACAAGAUUAGUUGGUCCCUAAAUAUACAAAUUAUCAGAUAAUUAAGCAUACGACACAAAUAAUGUUUGCAAUAGAAAAGCCAGGAAAGAUUAAAGGUCGCAUAAAUGAUCAACCAUAUAGAAAAGACGGGUGUUAACUGCUAAACCAAUUAUAUUAACUUCAUUGAAGAGCUAAGCUUUAAUGCAUAGCUAAGUCUACCUUCUAUAAUGUGAUUGGAAAAACCACCUAAUUGAUUACGUGAGGCUAUGAAACCUGAGCAAGGUUUAUCAAGCCAUUCAUGUUAGGCAAAUGCCAUACUUAACAAUUAAAUUUACUAUCCACAAGAAAACCAACGAUAAAGUACUUGCAAUUAUACCUUUAUAUUAAAGGGCAGCCCACAGUGCAAGAGACUCCCAAAACAAUCGGUUCCUUAUAUAACAACUGUCAGUUUAAUCCACACAGGCAAAAGAAUAAACAAAUGCCAACUUCCCAGGUAUUCAAAAAGAUGAUUUGUGAAAAGCAGUAAUAUGUUCUUUUCAUUUCACCAUCGUUUCAGAUACUGCCAUCUCAGCAGGCUUAAUCCUUUAUGCUUCAAAGUCAGACAUGUUCCUCUCCCAGAAGCACAUUCUUUCUCUUUUGUUGCAGUCUGACCCCAAGAAUCUCCUUCCUCCAUAGCUGAUAUUGCCUACACUAGUGGCAUCCACUCAUUCUGAAACAAGAGUUCACACCUCAGUCGCAUCUAGGGUCAUAAAGAGUUCACACCUCCAAUCAUUCUGAAACAAGAUAUCAUAUUACAAAUGCUUUUAAGGUAAUAUAUGCUAAAAAUAACAUGCUUAUUUUACAUCAUAAAUAAACAUUUUUAUAUUACAGUGGCAUUUAAGGACAUCUAGGCUCAAACCCAUCCAGAAUUUAGAUUAUGAAGAGAUUCAUGCCGCCAUUGCCUUUAGGUUAUAAAGGCCAAAAAACCACAAUCCAAAAUUUACAUUACAAAUAAAGAAAGUCACAUUAUUUGACAACGCGUUAAGGUUAACCACGACUAUCCUAGAUUUACAUUAUGCUUAAAGAAUCAAUAUAGCAUUUGACAUUUGUAGUUAGGAUCAUCAAGGCACAACAUAUACCAACACUCCAUCCACCUUUUAUAUCAUUUACAAAGAACUCAUACUGCAUUUAGGGAUCAUAUAAGUCUUAAAAGCAUGUAAUUCUAAAAGAAUUCUCAAUGAAGAGUUAUAAAUAUUAUUACAUUUACUAAUAACUAAUUUUUAAAAUAUGUUCAAAUCUUUACUGGCAAACAUUUAUUCUUUAUAACAUUAAAUUCAAUUUUUAAUUAAUAUAUCAAACACAUUCAUUAUUUUUUUUAAAAUUAAGUAAUUAGAAUAUUUAAGAAAUUACAUUUGUAAUAAUAUCAUAACAUUAAUAUUUGAUGAUAACAAGGGAUUUUUAACAAAAAUACUUUUCCAAUACAUAAACUUUUGUGAAAAUAAAUCAUAUUGAUGAAGCCCACAUACUUUAAUUAAAAAAAUUAUUAUCCAUAUGCACGAGGUACCAUGAAACCCAAAUAUACAGGAAAUUCUCUUAACUUAUGAUGCCUCAAAAUAAUUUUUCUCAUGUUUGCAAUUAAUUGAAAAACACUUCCCAAAUAAAUAGUACAAAAGAAAAACAAAGCUAAUGGACAUAUAAAAAUGUUUAUUCCUCCUGAUUCACAUAUUCUUUCAAUUAUUCAAUAAUUUUGUCAAAAGAGCUGGAAAAACAUUAGCCCAUUUUCAAUAUCUUUGUUUGACAAUUUUUAUUAUAAACGUUUAUCUUCAUAUUAUCAACAUAUAUAAUUGUUUAUUUAUCUUUCAAUCUUAUGUUUAAGCUUAAAAAGCAGUAAAGUUUAUAUUAUACUUCUACCCAAUGAAAGUUUAUAUUAUUCAACAAGGAGAAUCAAUAAACACAAUGCUUAUGCCUAAUAAUAUAGGUAAAAUUUAAGAUACCAAAUAAAAUGGUUAAUAGCAAACAUUUGCUUAUGAAUCCGAUUCUAAUGUUAUAGGCUUAUAGCCCUGAAACAUUCCACCACCAACUUAAUAUGAAACAAUGUACUAUCAUCAUAGUUAAAGAAAAGGAAUGAGACCCCUCUCUAGUCUUUUACAUAUAUAAUGAAAAAAUGUUCCUCAUGACAUAUGUUACUCUCAUAACCAAUAAUUUCCUUCAAAACAUGUCCAUGUUAUUUCUAUAUACCUUUCUACAUUGUAUAUUCACUUUUUAUAUAUUGUAUGUUUUAAUAAGUUAAUACUAAUAAGUGAUUGGUCCAUUUGUUUUUGAAUUAUAUCUCACAUUAAAUGAGAACGUUGACUUUAUAAAAUUAUUACACAAUAUUGAUAUAUAUGUGUAUAUAUAUAUAUAUCUUUAAUAAGAUUAAUACUUAUAUGAUUUUAGACAUAUGUUAAAAUAAAUCAAUCUCAUACGAAUGCACGGGUAACCUGCGUGCUCUUAAUCAUGUGGCAAAAAAUUAUCGCUCUAUGCGCGGGUAACUUCCUAGUUAACAGUGAAGACGUUGAACAAAUCAGAAUGACCUAUGGAAGCCAAUAAUUAACAGAAAAGGAAGUUAAUGGAAAUCUGCGAUCGAAAUUGCAAUAAGGUUGUUCAGCAAAAGUGAAACAAGAAAAGAAAACAUGAGUUGUUAAUAUACAACAUAUCAUGCAGAACUAUCUAGCAGAAUGCAUAUAUGUAACAGAAAAUUAUAUUUCCAUUAUCUCUUUCUCUGGCAUAUACUUGAUGAAAACAGAAAUAGGAAAAAGACGAUACCAAAAACUUCCAUAUCAAUACUAUCCUCAGCAGCACUCUGGGUGCACCCCACCAAUCAACUCCAACCAAAAGGCUCCACCAAAACCUGUUUUUGUUAAUAUAUUACCAUUUCAUGCAAACCAGAUAAACGAAACAAAUCACAACUGCACAGUUGAAAAAUUUAGAAGCUUUAAAUUUAUAAGAAUGUUAAGAAAAAUCUAGGAUGUCACAUACUAAAAAGGAUCCAUGAUAGCAAUUGCACACUCCCAAGUAUUGGCUUGACUAGUAGGAAUAACGGGAAAAAACCCGGAUUGUUUUUAAUGUGGUAUGAUCCUUACUAGAGUCAUACCAUACAGAAACUGAAUAGACAAUUUGUUGAAGAAAAUGCAGGGGCAACAAUUCCAGAUCCAACAGAAAAGAUGUGAAUUCCACCCUGAAGAAAAGAUACAGCAGUUUCACCACCAUGAGCAGAGAACAUCGAGCAAGUGUACUAACAUCACUUGGAAGAAUGGAUCAAAAUUGACCCUUUUGACUUAUUAGGAACCACACACAGAUACCUUUUGCACAUCAGUAGUUAUUCUAGGUGCUUGAGGACAAGCAAAGACAAUUUGGGAAAAAAUAAACAUAUUGAUAUGCUUAAGUCAAUGCUUAAGAUCUUUUUGGCAAAAAGGGAUCCACAUUACAGUAUAACAAUUUGAAACUAUGAUCCAUGUUACUCAAGAAUGAUGAUAUUAAUAUGUGAACAUCUAAAGACUAUGAUUGAAUAUAGAAUCAUAGACAAGGGGAGAGAUAGGGGGAGUAUCACCACAAGACUUUAUAAAAAAUGUAAAGAAAACUUGAACAUGGCACAAGAAGGAGACUAGUAAACCAUGUACCAGAGACACCCUGGAUAGCCACUUCAUAAGCAGGUAGUAUCACGGAUUAUAUUAGUUGGACCCUAAAUAUACAAAUUAUCAGAAAAAUAAACAUUCGACACAAACAAAUCUUUGCAGUACAGAAGCCAGGGAAAGGGGUAAAGGUGCAUAAAUGAUCAACCAUCUAAGCUAAGCUAUAAUAAAUAGCUAAGUCUACCUUCUAUAAUGUGAUUAGAAAAACCACCUCAAUGACACAUGAGGCUAUGAAGGCUGAAGCAAGGACAUUCAUGUUAGGCUAAAAACUCCAAAAAACUAAUUGCCUAAGAACUACAAUUAGGUACAGUAGAGUUACCUAAUGAAAUUAAAUGUUUUUUUUAAAGAGGUGUACUAAUUAUUGUUAAGUUAAACAGAGAAGUGUAUAAUUUCCACCAAAUUAUUUUAUCAACUUCGGUGUUAUAUUAUCAUCACACACUUUACUAUCACUAUCUGUUAAGUAACAAAAAAAGCUUACAUUAUUGGCAGCCCCGCCCACAAGGGCCAAGCUACCACUACAUUUUGUACCCACUUUGUUAUACUAUACUACUAUCCUUUUGCUGAAAAGAAAAUGGGGAUUAUUAACUUGGCACUUCUUUGUUCUUGUUGUUUCAACGCAUAGGGGAUUAAAAAGUGUAAAAUCCCAUUAUAGCUUUUCGGCUUAGCAUUCACCUAUACAAUCUGUUGCUGACCACAACAAACAUAAUUUGAGUUUGAAUCUUGAGAUUCUAAACAUUUUCUUUUAACAAAUUAUCUCCCAUUUUGAAUGAGUUUUUUCUUUCUUUUUACGAUGAUUUGAAUUAGUAAGGAUACAAUCAAAAAAUAAUAAUCUGGAAAUGUUUUUUCUUUCAAUAUUUAAUUACUUUUAUAUUUAACUUGAACGCUGUAAACUUAUUAGAAGAAAUGUAGAUAUAAAUUAAAGUAUUAGAAAAAAUGUAUUCGUACGAAUUUUAUAUACUAUUAUUGCAUCAUCAAUCAUUUGUAUUUAAUCAUACAAUACAUGGAUGAUAUUACAUUCAUAACAUACUAGUCUUGAUUUGUGGAUGAAAGAAACAUGUGAAAUCUAAGUUUCAAAUAAAGAAGUUGGGAAAAAAAUAUCCACACCUAACCUUGCCUAUGUCUUAAAGUAAAAAAUCACAUGCCUUCACACCUAACAUUGUAUCAAUUUCAAAGAAGACUUUGGAACAAAACAGACACUUCAUAUUCUAAUUUAUAGCAUCUCAACUCUCAAGACAUAACGUGAUUAUACUAACAAUUUCUUUUCCUCCGCAAUUCUGAUGACACAUUUCAUUCAAGCUCAGACCACAGAAAUAGAGUCUGUUAUGACAUAAACAUUUGCAUUUCCCGGUUACCAUCGCCAGCUUCAUGCCGACCACAGAAAUAGAAAACACAGAAUUAAUUGACAAAUAGGUUUUCUGUGUUCCCAUGCAGCUAACGAUAAAUUCCAUUUUCCUCUUUCCUAGAGAUCUAGCUCAUAAAUGAUUGACAUUCAUCCCAAUUCCCACAUGUGCGAAUAAGACAAGAAAUCUAACAAUCGAUAGAAAUCUAACCUGUGAUAGGUGCCAGGCAAAUAUCUGAAACUUUCCUACAAAAAACAUCCCUGCGCUGCUAUUUUGCGGUUUUGCUUUCUUCAGUCACUUGUCCCCUUAUGAAGAAGCCAGAUAUGAAUUCCAAUAAUAUGUUACAAUAUGCAUACAAAAUUGAUUACAAGGUUCUCAUCUACAUUUGUUUCCUUAUGUACAUAGUCAACAUAAAAUCAAAGCUAAAAACAACUCUAGCAGAACUUAGCAACAAUAGGAUAUAUACCCUGAAUAGACCAUUGUGGUGAAAAGGUUUGACAAAGACAUACCGUAUGAAAAUGGUCACCCCUCCUUUCAAUGUGUGCCUUCGAGUGUUUUACUAAAUGGAUUCCAUGAGACUAGUAAUUUCAUCAUAUAGUUAGGGCCUGAUUAUUGUAUAACAUUGUAAUCAGACUCCAUUAAAUGGUUUGAGUAAACCCAAAAACACAAUGGUGAUAAGAAAAGGAGUAUUUUUUUACAAGUAUCACGAGUUUGGUUAAUAUAAAAGGAAGUCCCUUAUACUAGUGAAUAUAAAUUUUUGAAUACAAGUCUUCUCUUAUCGUAUCCGUUUCUGAAUGUCAUAAAUGACUUAAGUUAAACAGUUUUAUCCAGUAGAGGUGAAACUAAUUAACAUCCAAUAUAUGGUUAAUAAAUUACAAGGCAGUCAGGAGAGAUUUAUAAUUGACAAUACACUCUGGACAAUACUAGUAGUCUAUCAUAAGAUGAUAUGUGAUUUUUUUUUCCAUCUCACCAUUAGCUAAAACUAACACUGUUAACUGUUGUAAGUCACUUUGUCUUCCUCAUCAACCAUAACAGUGGAAACACCUCUUCUCUACAAUGCCUUUCCACAAUCAUUAGCAACUCUAUCUUCGAAGAUGAAUUAUCUAUGAACUCAUCAAAGCUAACAAAAUAAGGACAUACCAUAAGAGGCAGACUAAGAUUUAAUCAAACCAAAAAGUAGUAGUUAAACCCAUGAUUUCCAAUUUAUAUGCCAAACCAACAAGUUCCCAACAAUUCCCAUGUUAAACAGCCAAUUCAUGCGAAAAACUAAACCAAAAUAGGGAUGAAAAGGAAGCAAAAUUAACUUAAGAAGUGUCAAGCUGAUUUAUCUUUGCAAUUGUGGCAAAAAAACGUUGGAAACAAAGGAGAAGGUGAACACAUGAAAAAACAAUUCAGAAAAAUCAACCUUGAUGAUAUGAUUUCUUUUCUUGGAUGAAGAGUAUAUGAUUUCUUAAGACCUAAAACAGUGAAAAAAUUUCAGAUAAGGUAAUGUGAAGGUUGAUGGAGAACACAUAGGUGGGGUAGGGAUGGACGGAAAGAUAGGGUAAACAGGAAAGUAAUCCUAACAAUGAGAUGGAAAUAAGUCAUGGUUGGAGAUUUGGCUGCCAUACUAAACUAAUGUAGGGAGAAAUAUCGGACGUUACUACUUACUAGGCCAAAGGUCCAAAAACAACUUCAUAGUUGAUUUUGAAUAACUCACAAUUUUAACGUAUUAUUGCACUACAAACGAGUAAAAAUGUCCUGAACCAUUGGCUGCAGUGCUUCCAAAAAAUUCUCACAAACCAGGGUUUAAGAACAUUUACCUUGUAAAAAUAUAAGUGAGGCCCAAGCAAUGUAUGCAAUACGCAUUACCUUAAAAUAACAAUUGCAUUGAUCUAAGGUACUAUAGCUGAUCAGAGUCACCUACAUUCUUCUCUUAUGGUACAUAAGCCAAGUAGCCAACAGUCUCCUAAGCACAAGGUUUGGCAACACAUAAUCUAAGAAAUGACACCUUAAAAAAUUAUGUAAAAGGGAAAAUCGAAGGUGGAUCCAGUAUUGAAUUACAUUUAAGGGCACAAAGCAGCACAAUAUCACGGUUCUUGUUUGUACUCUCAAGAUGCAUAUUCCUGGAUAAUGGAUGCCAGUUUAUUUUGAUCUUCUUCUGUUUUCAUUCAGAUCAAGAAUGUACUUGCAACAACACUGUCAUUACCUCCACUCCCGCCAGCGUUACCCUACAAAAUCCUCAAGAUUUAUAUUUGUUUUCUGUUAGCUAUUCAAUCAUAGUAAAGUAAGGUGAAAUUGCUAAAAAAUGAGAGAAAAUGGAAGAGAAAUGAGAUGUGAUCGCUGAUGUGAUUAGGAAGGAAGAGAGAAAUGGAAAGAAAUAUAAGGUGUAGAAAGGUGGUGUAUGAGAAAAAAAUGGUAAGAAUAUCAAUAAUAGUAAGGACAACUAUUAUUAUUUAAUUCAUUCUCUUUCUCUUAAAGAAAAGCACUUUGAUAAUUGAUCCAUCAAGAAAGAGAUAAUAGGGCCGAUUCAUUGACAGAAUAGAUAACUAACCUAAGAUCAGGUAAGCUAAAUACACCUGAUUUGGAUUCAUGAUCACAAUGUACAGUUGAAUUGAAACAGGAACAGUGAAAAAAUGCAGUCCUAAGACAAAAGUGACAUAGAUGCCAGGUAGCGUUUGACGCACAUAUAGUAUCUAAGUACUAAGAAAAGCUAUAAAAUACUGAACCUCAUUGCGAACAAUGAUUGUAGGUUUUGACUCUUUGAUAGCCUUGGGGAUACCCUCUUUGCAUUUAAUAGACAGCUGGCCCAUCCCUUUAUCUUUCCAUGCAUCCUUAUCUUCUGAAUCACUUGACUGAACAUAGCAAGGUUAAGAGACAUUAAACCAUUGGGAUGGACAUCACAAUGUACAGUUGAAUUGAAACAGGAACCAGUGAAAAAAUGUAGUCCUAAGACAAAAGUGACAUACAUGCCAGGUAGCAUUUGGCACACAUAUAGCAGCCAUUUUAUCCUGUAGAGGUGAAACUAAUUAACAUCCAAUAUAUGGUUAAUAAAUUACAAGGCAGUCAGGAGAGAUUUAUAAUUGACAAUACACUCUGGAGAAUAGGGUUUUCUCAUUUAAAAGGAAAUAAAAAUUGAUGCACCCAAACAAGGAUGUGCUUUUAAAGCCACACACUGUACUUUGAUUAAGUGUUACACAGUGAGUGCAUGCCAUUUGAUCUAAUUCCAUUGCUAUAGCAACAAUGAACUUGACUAAUUGGGAAGCUGAUAUAGAUAUACAAAGAAGAAUAUACUUAACUAUAUCUGCCUCAUUUAAGACAUCCAACUUUAUUGCUUUUAUGAGACCAUGUGGCAAUUUCUGCUCUUGAAAGAGGUCAUCCUCCUCCAUGGAACUCAGUAACCUUGCACUAGGCAUAAAAUUUCCAACAGACCAUUCAUUUGCAAAGUAUCAAUUGAGUAAAGUAAACGAGCUCAAAGAACAAGUGAGUAAAAUGAUGCACACCCAUAUUGUCCAAACCUCUUGAACUGGUAUUUUACUAGAUUAGCCUUAGGUUGCAUGGAUAAAGUACAAGCAAAACAAAAUCUAAAAACAAAGGUAACGGGUACAAACCUACAUACCACAUAAAGUUAUAAGGAGACAACGAACAAUCAAACAUUUAAACCAUAAGAUAAAUAAUUUUUCUUGACAUUCAAACGCACAUUGCGUAAGCAUUCUGGAAUCAAAAAACACAUAUAACUGCUUAUAUCAUCCAUAGAACUGAGAAUCAAACAAGUUUGGUUCCCUAACCAUAAUUAACAAAGAAAAACAAUAGAAUCAAAGAAAUUGAUCUGUGACGAGUGGAAAACAAACGUACACUGCAAAAACAUCACUUCGGAACCAAAAAAACACACAUAGCUGGUUAUAUAAACCAGAGAACUGAGAUAUCACAAAGCCUGGUUACAUAAUCCAAAUUAAGAAAGAAAAACAGCAGAAUCAAAGAAAAUGAUUAGUAACGGUUGAAAAGCGAUAGCGCGUUGCAAUAAUCACGGCUUUAGAACUUUCCAGAAGCACAGUCAUGUGACAUGCAGAAGACGAUCAUGCACAUAAAGAAAACAAAACCGACUAAACGAGUUUCAAAUAAAUGAAAAAUAAAAAAAUAAAAAAGAUUGAGAGAGAAGUAUAUUUUACUUACUUAUGAGAAGAGACUGAAUGCGCUUCAGAUAACAGAGAAGUGAUAGGAAAGCGCAGGUUAGAACUACUUCUGAUGAGGUGAGCUUCGAAACGACGCCGUAUGAGUGCGAAAAUCGAGUGAAAUAGAUGAAGAGAAACGAGAGAGUAUAAGGUUAGUGAAGUAGCGAAGAGGGAGAGAAAGAUUGAAGAGAAGAUUAAAACGGCGCCGGUUUGGUCUAUCAAAGUAACCAGUAUUCACGAGACAAACGCUGAGUUCAGAAGUGAGAGAGACUAAUGAGGACCAUGGCCAAGAGAAAAAGGGAAUAGCCCUACCUUUUUGGUUUUUAUUACGAUGCUACCCCUAUGCAGGGACCCACCCAGAAUUUCUCCCAAGGCACAAACUCUAUCGGUUACCAUGGCCAAUGCAACCACGUCCCUUUUAAUUUAUACUUUCUAUUAUUAAUUUCUGUAGAAGUGUUAAAUGAAAAAAAAAAUAAACACAUUUAAUAUCAAGAACUGAAUCUAUGUAGCUUUUCAAGUUCAUGUUUUCACUUUUCUAGUUAGAAACCAACUUAUUCGGCAAAAGUAUAAGGAACAUUUAGCACCAGGGAAAAUGCCCAAAAAACAUACUUUGCAUCAAUCUACAAAGUACAUAUAUAAUAUUUCCCCAUCUGGACAACCUCGAGACCUUACCUUAUCAAAUCUAUGACACCCACCACAUGUUAAAGAUCACACACUUCAUAGAAUAAUAACCAGCUAGAAAAUCUUAAGUGCAGGCCACAUCAAAGGCCUCAUUCUGAGCAGCCAACUACUCUACAACUAAGUAAUCUUUUAAAAAUAAGGCAUGGUUAAAAUUUUGACUACAACAUUAACCCAAACUAAGAAAAAAAUAUUGUAACGUAACAUGCAAAAUGAAGUUUUGGGGAAUAUGCUAACAUAUAUGCUAAAUGAAGUUAAUGUCUCUUAUUGUCAUUUUUAAAAUACGCUAACAUACACGCAAAAUGAAGUUUUGGGGAAUAACCCAACAUACAUGGCAAUAUAAUCUUUUAAAAUAAGUCAUGGUUGGAGAUUUGACUGCCAUACUAAACCAAUGUAGGGAGAAAUAUUGGAUGUUACUACUUACCAGGCCAAUGGUCCAAAAACAUUUUCAUAUUUGAUUUUGAAUAACUCACAAUUUUAACUUAUUAUUGCACUAUAAACGAGUAAAAAUGUCCUGAACCAUUGGCUGCGGUCCAUUCAAAAAAUUCUCACAAACCAGGGUGUUAGAACAUUUACCUUGUAAAAAUAUAAAGUGAGGUCCAAGCAAUGUAUGCAUCACUAUAGCUGAUCAGAGUCACCUACAUUCUUCUCUCUUACGGUACAUAAGCAACAGUCUUCUAAGCACAAGGCUUGGCAACACAUAAAUCUAACAAAUAACACCUUAAAAAAUUAUGUAAAAGGGAAAAUAGAAGGUGGAUCCAGUAUUGAAUUACAUUUAAGGGUCAAAGCAGCAUAAUAUCACGGCUCUUGUUUGUACUCUCAAGAUACUGGAGCAUAUUCUUGGAUAAUGGAUGCCAAUUUAUUUCGAUCUUCUUCUGUUUUCAUUCGGACCAAGAAUGUACUUGCAACAACACUAUCAUUAUCUCCACUCCCACCAGCAUUACCCUACCAAAUCCACAAGAUUUAUAUUUGUUUUCUGUUAGCUAAUUCCAUAUAAACAUACUAGUAUCUAAGUACUAAGAAAAGCUAUAAAAUACUGAACCUCAUUACGAACAAUGAUUGUAGGUUUUGACUCUUCGGUAGCCUUGGGGAUACCCUCUUUGCAUUUAAUAGACAGCUGGCCCAUCCCUUUAUCUUUCCAUGCAUCCUUAUCUUCUGGAUCACU